UUUCCUUCCUCCAUCUAUGAGUUUUCUGAGAGUGUCUCAUAUCUAAAACUCUUUCUUCUACUUAUCAUCUUUGAAAGAGUCCAAAUCAAGAAGAAGGAGGCAUCUGAUCGACCAUCGAAGAAGGAUCAGCACAGUACUAGCAUACUAUGCUGAUUUUCUGGAUCAAGACUUCUGAUCGUGAUUCGUGGACUCGUGUGGAUGACUCCUAGCG
rnacentral:lncRNA from 1 species